ensembl:lncRNA
CCACUGGUCAGCUGUUGGCCCCAAGCGGAGGUGUAGAGCUUCUGCUCUGCUAUUCGGAGUUCUGCCUGGCCACAUGGAGCUUGCAGUCUGCACAAACUCAGUGUGUUGAUGACAUGGGCAGCAGCGAGAGCUGUCAUCAUAUAUUCCACACCUGUGGGAGCACUGGGUGUCUGGUGCCUGGCAGAGAGCCUGGUGGGGUGCCCCCAGAGAGACCCAGCAUUGCAGGCUGUAGAAGAACACAGAUGAGUGACAGCUUCAAAUUAAUCAAGCAAGAAAAAACUGCAAAAGAUUCAGGAAAGGCUGCUGUACAUGACUUUCAGCCUCUAUCUUCCUGCUUCACAGAUUACAGAUCAUCUGAGAUCCAAGGAGAGCUGUGGAGAUGAAGCAGAGAAAUCUGGCAAUAGUGUGUCAUCACAGAUGAAAGAACUGCUAUUUGCUUUGGUGCCAUACGAAAUCUCAACACAGACUACAAAAGCAUUUCUUCUCCGGAAUUCAUCAAAGCUUUUGGAAGAAACAAAUAAGUCAGAGGACACUACUGAACAAGGUGAAACGUAGUAGUCAGACCAAUCACAGCGCAGACUGAGAUGGAAGAAGUGAGAUGCUGACAUGCUUUUACUUGGUAUGGAAUGGAUUUAAAAUAAGCAUUUACCUACUGUCAAGCUUGAAAGUGAAGCUGAAGAAGAAAUUAGCUGAAGAGCACCCAGCUCUGAAGGAGGCUCAACACAUAUCCUGCCAGCAAGAACCUAAGAGGACCUGGAGAAGCAAGGGUUCGUUGUCUGGGAAAAGAUGGCUCGUGUAAGGCUGAGAAAGAAGCAUUACAGAGCACGUGAAAGAAAGAAGCUAUACAAAUUAGAAAUGAUAGGGAGAACCAAAUUUUUCAAGUGCUGUUAGAACUUUGUCUGGUUCUGGUCACUGAACUUCAUAUGUUUGUACUACUCUCUCCACAAGCUUGCUGGGGUACCCAAUGCUUGUCUCAGUGGUUUUCUGACACCUUGGGUACACUUGCUUGUCCUUACAUACUACAGAGAUCACCAAACUGGUGGACCCACUGGGGGUUUGCUCCUUUCCUAGUAAGUCUGAUCAUGAAGAGGGCAAUUUGGCUGUCAUAGCAAGUUAUGCAGGCAAACCCUAUAAAAUGAAAUGAUCAACAAUCUGUGCAUGGAAUCGUGCCCAUUCUCACAGCAUCUAGAAUUAUUCCCCUGACUUUUCAGGGCUCUUUAUCUUAAACACUCCAUGAAAUCAUUCAGCAACUAACAGUCACUGCUUUUACUGGAGUGGGAAGAGAAUGUACAUUUUUGCAUCCGUUUGCUUGGCUCCUGGGACUUUUUCUGCUUUUAACAUUCCCUGGCAAUGUGUCGUGCUGAGUUUGUGCCUUUGGCGGCAGCCACUGCACAGAGGGACCAUGCAGGCAGAAUAAAUAACAAGAGUGCCGAGAGACAUUCCUUGAUACAAAUGGCUGUAGGUUGGGAAGAGAGGGCAUAUUUCCUUAGUACAGAAAAGGCCCCUACGGCUGAUGCUGUAGGAAACUAAUUCAUUGUUGUUACUCUCUGUUCUGGGAAGGGACAGAGGAGCUUUUUCAUAUUCCUUUGGUUCUGCUGUGUAGUCUGCCACAGCAGUCAGCAUUAGUAAAACCAGCCCUGCUCUCAUCUGUUCAAAAUAUCACUGUUAUUUCAGAAUGCUGAUUACUCAGACAGACUCCAAGGCAGAGCUGUGAGAGUUUCAAAAGCCAGGCAGCGAAUUGUUGUGCUGAAGAGGCAACGGAACGGAAAAUGGAGGCAGGGUACAAGCAACACACUUCAGGGACCUGGCGAAACUGUGGAGAAAAAGGGUUGUGUCUGAAAGAGAGCAUUUAGCUAAAGAGAACAUUCAGUCAGCACUUCAGUUGCUAGACUCCAUCUAGAGCACUGCGUCCCCUCCUCAGCACAGGAAAGGCACCUAUAACAAAGAGCAGAGGGUCCUACAGUCAGCUUAGGAACACUUGCCCUCUAAGAGGCUGAGGGACAGGGUCUUCUUCAGGUAGGAGAUUUGAUGGCCUGCAAGGAGAUAACUGAAAAGUUAGAGCCAGGCUAUUGGUAGUGGUGCACAUCAGGCAAACAAGACAAUGUGGAUUUUCAAGUUUUCACUGCACGGAAAGUCAGGCAGCAGAGUAGGCUGCCCAGGGGAUUUGUACAGUCACUCUCCAUCCUGGGUUGUUUCUCAAGGCCCAGCUGCAUAAAUCCCUGUGCCACCAGAUCUGAGCUCAGAGCUGGCCUUGCUUUGAACUAGAGACCUCCUGACAUUCCUUCCCACCUGAGUUACACUGUGAUUCUGAUUACCAGCUGCUCUGGUCACGCUAGAUGUCAUGGCAGCCCUGGAUAUCUGAUGGCCAACAAACACCUCAGUCAUCACCUAAAACAAGCAGCCACCAGACUAACUCCAAAUCACAACAGGCUAAUGCUCAGGCCUCCAGGCUCUAAGUUCCUUUAUAUACAUAUAUACGCACACAAAAAUAAGGAAACCUUGAGCAGUGACUUCUGUCACUUGAUUUUUGUGUAUUCAGUGUAGUGACAGCAGACUGGGGCUGCAAAAAGCCUAAAAAGUGGUUUCAACCCAGAAAUGUUUCCUCCCUGUAGGAAAUUAGGACCCAAACCUCCUGUCUGAAGUAUCACUGUCCUCUUAGGAGUAGGCUGCUGUCAGGCACUCUGCAGUUUACAAAUAGGAAAUCUGAAUACCUCACAUCAAGAGAAAUAGCUAAUUAUUUCAAUCAUCUAACGAUGGUAUAGUAAAAAGGAAAAUAUGCAUUAAUAUAGGCAGUCACCUUUCUAGCUUGACCUAUGUCCCUUAGAAAAUAAUGACAAAACAGAGACAACAUUUAAUUCAUAAAACUGUAAGUGGAGAUAAAAGGUGUGAAUAUUAUUUCGUGACAGUCAAUAUGAUGUUGUUAAAAAAAUAAUCUUGUCAGGAAAGUCCAACUUUACUGGGAAUUACAUGUUUGUUUGAUAAAGACUGUUGUGCAGACAUAAAACAUUUCCGUGGGUUAAUGUGUUCUGUUCACUGCCAUUGAACAAUCUGAGCUAAAAAAAAAAAAAAAAAAAAAAAAAAGAGCAACUGCAUGGCAAGGCUGCAAAAUGAGCAAUUAGUGUCAAUAAAGCUCAGAUAUGAUAAAUUUAGAACUUACUAAAUGGCAGAUUGCAAAGCUGUUGUUAAUGUGAAUUUUCCUCUGAAUGAGUCUGUUUCUAGUGGCAUCCCAUGGUGGCAUGUACCAGAAACAUUGCUGACCAACAAAUUUUACCAGUGUUCUGGAAAAAAGAAAUGUAACAUUCCUGUUCAUGUAAAAUAAAUCUGUGAAUAUCACAUGCUGGUAGAAUAGAAAUAAAGAUGAGAACAAG